rnacentral:rRNA from 1 species
ACGUGAAAGCCCCGGGNCUUAACCUGGGAACUGCGAUUGUAGACUGCAAGGCUAGAGUGUGUACAGAGGGGGGUGGAAUUCCACGUGUAGCAGUGAAAUGCGUAGAGUAUGUGGAGGAACACCGAUGGCGAANGCAGCCCCCUGGGAUAACACUGACGCUCAUGCACGAAAGCGUGGGGAGCAAACAGGAUUAGAUACCCUGGUAGUCCACGCCCUAAACGAUGUCUACUGGUUGUUGGGANNGGUAACCUCUUAGUAACGAAGACUNACGCGUGAAGUNGACCGCCUGGGGAGUAANGUCGCANGAUNAACUCAAAGGAAUUGACGGGGACCGCACAAGCGGUGGAUGAUGUGGAUUAAUUCGAUGCAACGCGAA